ACAAAAACAUCUUUUCUUGUUAGUUUUUGAAGUAUGGUCUGCCCGCUGACUUUAGGUUGAAGGGCCGCGGUAUUUUGACCGUGCAAAGGUAGCAUAAUCAUUAGUUCUUUAAUUGUGAUCUGGUAUGAAUGGCUUGACGAGGCAUGGUCUGUCUUGGAUGGGAGAUGUGUUUAAUUGAAUUUGGUUUUUGAGUUAAAAUUCUUAAAUGUUUUUAUGGGACGAGAAGACCCUAUAGAGUUUAACAUUCGGUGUUUAGCUUGGUUUGUGUUUGUUUUUUGUUGAUGCUUUGUUUCGUUUGUUUUGUUGGGGUGAUGGGAGGAAUUUUCUUAACUCCUCUUUGUUUUUGGUAUAUUUAUUUGUAUAUGUUUUGAUCCAUUUAUUUUGAUUAUAAGAUUAAAUUACCUUAGGGAUAACAGCGUUAUCCUCCUUGAGAGUUCUUAUUGGCGGGAGGGUUUGCGACCUCGAUGUUGGAUUAAGAUUAAUUUUUGGUGUAGGAGCUGAAUUGAUUGGGUCUGUUCGACCUUUAAAAUCUUACGUGAUCUGAGU
rnacentral:rRNA from 1 species